rnacentral:rRNA from 1 species
UACUGUACUGCCAUGUCACCCUGCAACUUACAAUUGGCAACCCACUGAAGCUACAGUAAGCAGGUGUGAGCCUGGUCAGUACCUGAAUGGGAGACCUCCUGGGAAAAACUAAGGUUGCUGCUGGAA